rnacentral:rRNA from 1 species
UACGUAGGGUGCGAGCGUUGUCCGGAAUUAUUGGGCGUAAAGAGCGUGUAGGCGGCCAGGUAGGUCCGUUGUGAAAACUCGAGGCUCAACCUCGAGACGUCGGCGGAAACCCUCUGGCUAGAGUCCGGAAGAGGAGAGUGGAAUUCCUGGUGUAGCGGUGAAAUGCGCAGAUAUCAGGAAGAAUACCAGUGGCGAAGGCGUUCUGCUGGGCCGUUGCUGACACUGAGGCGCGACAGCGUGGGGAGCAAACAGG